rnacentral:rRNA from 1 species
UACAUAGGGUGCAAGCGUUAAUCGGACUUACUGGGCGUAAAGCGCGCGUAGACGGUUUUGCAAGACAGAUGUGAAAUCCCUGGGCUUAACCUGGGAACUGCAUUUGUGACUGCAUGGCUAGAGUGCGGCAGAGGGGGAUGGAAUUCCGCGUGUAGCAGUGAAAUGCGUAGAUAUGCGGAGGAACACCGAUGGCGAAGGCAAUCCCCUGGGCCUGCACUGACGCUCAUGCACGAAAGCGUGGGGAGCAAACAGG